GCAUUGGUGGUUCAGUAGUAAAAUCCUUGCCUUCCAUGGAAGAGGCCUGGGUUCAAUUCCCAGCCAAUGCA